AUUGAACGCUGGCGGCAGGCCUAACCCAUGCAAGUCGAGCGGAGCGGCGGACGGGUGAGUAAUGCCUAGGAAUCUGCCUGGUAGUGGGGGAUAACGUCCGGAAACGGGAGCUAAUACCGCAUACUCUAAGAUGAGCCUAGGUCGGAUUAGCUAGUUGGGGGGGUAAAGGCCUACAAAGGCGACGAUCCGUAACUGGUCUGAGAGGAUGAUCAGUCAAACUGGAACUGAGACACGGUCCAGACUCCUACGGUAGGCAGCAGGGGGGAAGAUGGGAAAAUGGGCGAAAGCCUGAUCCAGCCAUGCCGCGUGUGUGAAGAAGGUCUUCGGAUUGUAAAGCACUUUAAGUUGGGAGGCGUUACCAACAGAAUAAGCACCGGCUAACUUCGUGCCAGCAGCCGCGGUAAUUC
rnacentral:rRNA from 1 species